rnacentral:rRNA from 1 species
UAACUGGUUUAGUUUACUAAAUCGGUGGCAAACGGGUGAGUAAUAUACAAAAAUCUACCUGACAAUAAGGAAUAUGUACUGGAAACGGUAAGCAAUACCUUAUAUACCCUGAGGGGGAAAGAUUUAUCGUUGUCAGAUGAGUUUGUACGGGAUUAGCUAGUUGGUGAGGUAAUGGCUCACCAAGGCAAAGAUCUCUAGCCGACCUGAGAGGGUGAUCGGCCACAUUGGGACUGAGAUACGGCCCAGACUCCUACGGGAGGCAGCAGUGGGGAAUAUUGGACAAUGGGCGCAAGCCUGAUCCAGCUAUGUCGCGUGAAUGAUGAAGGUCUUAUGGAUUGUAAAGUUCUUUCGGUGGGGAUGAUAAUGACAGUACCCACAUAAGAAGCCCCGGCUAACUCCGUGCCAGCAGCCGCGGUAAUACGGAGGGGGCUAGCGUUAUUCGGAAUGAUUGGGCGUAAAGGACGCGUAGGCUGUUUUGUAAGUCUUUAGUGAAAUCCCCGGGCUUAACCUGGGAAUUGCUUGAGAUACUGCAGAACUAGAGUAUGGGAGGGGGUAGUGGAAUCUUUGGUGUAGAGGUGAAAUUCUUAGAUAUCAGAGAGAACGUCGGUGGCGAAAGCGACUACCUAGAACA